rnacentral:rRNA from 1 species
AUGGCCACCGCAUCGCUGUCCGCUCUGUCCUCGGCGGCCGCCGCCGCCGGCAAGCGCUUCGUCCUCUCCUCCCCGUCGCUCUCCUUCGCCUCCCGCCGCAUCGCCGCCCCAGCCCGCCUCCGCGCCGCCGCCGUCCCGGGGGCGAGGAGAUUCGCGGCUUCCGCGGCAUCGGCAUCCACGGUCGUGGCCACCAUCGCGGUCGGCGACAAGCUGCCCGACGCCACGCUCUCCUACUUCGACCCGGCCGACGGCGAGCUCAAGACGGUGACGGUCGGGGAGCUGACUGCAGGGAAGAAGGUCGUGCUCUUCGCGGUCCCGGGCGCCUUCACCCCGACCUGCUCGCAGAAGCACCUGCCAGGGUUCAUCGAGAAGGCGGGCGAGCUCCGCGCCAAGGGGGUGGACACCGUGGCGUGCGUCUCGGUGAACGACGCCUUCGUGAUGAAGGCGUGGAAGGAGAGCCUCGGCCUCGGCGAAGACGUGCAGCUGCUGUCGGACGGCAACCUCGAGCUCACCCGCGCGCUCGGCGUGGAGAUGGACCUCUCCGACAAGCCCAUGGGGCUCGGCGUGCGGUCCCGCCGCUACGCGCUCCUCGCCGACGACGGCGUCGUCAAGGUGCUCAACCUCGAGGAGGGCGGCGCCUUCACCACCAGCAGCGCCGAGGAGAUGCUCAAGGCGCUCUGA